rnacentral:rRNA from 1 species
GACGAACGCUGGCGGCGUGCCUAACACAUGCAAGUCGAGCGAGUGAAUUUCCUUCGGGAGUGAAGCUAGCGGCGGACGGGUGAGUAACACGUGGGCAACCUGCCUCAUAGAGGGGAAUAGCCUUUCGAAAGGAAGAUUAAUACCGCAUAAGAUUGUAGUGCCGCAUGGCAUAGCCAUUAAAGGAGUAAUCCGCUAUGAGAUGGACCCGCGUCGCAUUAGCUAGUUGGUGAGGUAACGGCUCACCAAGGCGACGAUGCGUAGCCGACCUGAGAGGGUGAUCGGCCACAUUGGGACUGAGACACGGCCCAGACUCCUACGGGAGGCAGCAGUGGGGAAUAUUGCACAAUGGGGGAAACCCUGAUGCAGCAACGCCGCGUGAGUGAUGACGGUCUUCGGAUUGUAAAGCUCUGUCUUCAGGGACGAUAAUGACGGUACCUGAGGAGGAAGCCACGGCUAACUACGUGCCAGCAGCCGCCGUAAUAC